rnacentral:rRNA from 1 species
UACGGAGGAGGCAAGCGUUAUCCGGAAUUAUUGGGCGCAAAGCGUCCGCAGGUGGCACUUCAAGUCUGUCGUCAAAGACUGGGGCUUAACCCUGGAAAGGCGGUGGAAACUGAAGCGCUAGAGUGCGGUAGGGGUAGAGGGAAUUCCCGGUGUAGCGGUGAAAUGCGUAGAGAUCGGGAAGAACAUCGGUGGCGAAAGCGCUCUACUGGACCGCAACUGACACUCAGGGACGAAAGCUAGGGGAGCGAAUGGG